rnacentral:rRNA from 1 species
GUCAUGGCUCAGGAUGAACGCUAGCGACAGGCCUAACACAUGCAAGUCGAGGGGCAGCGGAGAGGUAGCAAUACCUUUGCCGGCGACCGGCGCACGGGUGAGUAACACGUAUGCAAUCCACCUGUAACAGGGGGAUAACCCGGAGAAAUCCGGACUAAUACCCCAUAAUAUGGGCUCUCCGCAUGGAGGGUCCAUUAAAGAGAGCAAUUUUGGUUACAGACGAGCAUGCGCUCCAUUAG